GACAAUGUCAAAGGGGAGUAGCUUUGGGUGUGAAAACAUCUAAACAAAGUCGUCAUUACAUGAAGAAAUUCAUCGGCUUUGUUGGCAUGAUACAUAUGUCUAGCAAGACCUUUGCCUAUAAAGGGCAGAGGUCUUUUUUUGCGUCCUUUAUAGGGUUUGUUGUU
rnacentral:sRNA from 2 species